UCACAGCGGAGAGCCGAGGCAGAGUGCGCGUUCCUUGAAGCAAAUGAACUCAGUGGAGUUGGUUGAGCACUGAAGUGACGGAAAGGGAGUAGAUCCUACUAAACAUUAAAUAGGAAAACUAGAGGUUAAACUAUCGAUUCCAUCUCGCUGGUAUCGAUCCGAUACAAUACCAACUUUAAUAUCGAUUAUAUAAAUACCCCGGAUCGAUCCGCCCACCCCUAGCUCAUUCGCCUCUAGUAAACGUAUAACUCGAAACUGAGUGGCGCACAUUUAGGAAACGGCAGAAUCUGCUUGGAUCUAGUGCUGGUUUCAGAUCUCCGCUAACCAUAACAAAAAAAAAAACGGCAGCCUCCAAGACUGUCAAUGUGUAUUCGCUCUGGUCAGAAUUUCGCCUGAAUGUUAGCCUCUAGGAUAGACACCAUUAUAUCAAACACAGUCUCGCCCGAUUAAAGGGUAUUGUUCCGAUAACCACUGAAAUCUGCGGAAGUGUAGCAGGUUGAAAUUUAUGACUACAGUACGUCACCCUUAUUUAGUCAGAGCCUCGGGGAAGCGUCCCCAAAACAAUACGCUUAAAUCACAAAUGGAAAGAUACAUAUAUAACUUAUUAAAUAAUCAAAUUCAUACACCAUGGGCCUAUUCAAUAGGCACAAACGUAUAUGCUAACCCAAGUUAGACUCCAACAGAGCCAACGAGUGAAUACAUUGCCCACAGUUUGUUCAUGAGCAUAAAGACAUCA